rnacentral:rRNA from 1 species
UGGGGAAUUUUGGACAAUGGGCGCAAGCCUGAUCCAGCCAUGCCGCGUGCGGGAAGAAGGCCUUCGGGUUGUAAACCGCUUUUGUCAGGGAAGAAAUCUUCUGAGUUAAUACCUCGGGAGGAUGACGGUACCUGAAGAAUAAGCACCGGCUAACUACGUGCCAGCAGCCGCGGUAAUACGUAGGGUGCAAGCGUUAAUCGGAAUUACUGGGCGUAAAGCGUGCGCAGGCGGUUUUGUAAGACAGAGGUGAAAUCCCCGGGCUCAACCUGGGAACUGCCUUUGUGACUGCAAGGCUUGAGUGCGGCAGAGGGGGAUGGAAUUCCGCGUGUAGCAGUGAAAUGCGUAGAUAUGCGGAGGAACACCGAUGGCGAAGGCAAUCCCCUGGGCCUGCACUGACGCUCAUGCACGAAAGCGUGGGGAGCAAACAGGAUUAGAUACCCUGGUAGUCCACGCCCUAAACGAUGUCAACUGGUUGUUGGGAAGGUUCCUUCUCAGUAACGUAGCUAACGCGUGAAGUUGACCGCCUGGGGAGUACGGCCGCAAGGUUGAAACUCAAAUGAAUUGACGGGGUCAUAGCUG